rnacentral:rRNA from 1 species
AGAGUUUGAUGGUGGCUCAGGAUGAACGCUGACAGAAUGCUUAACACAUGCAAGUCUACUUGAACUUCGGUUUGGGUGGCGGACGGGUGAGUAACGCGUAAAGAACUUGCCUCACAGUUAGGGACAACAUUUGGAAACGAAUGCUAAUACCUGAUAUUAUGAUUUUAGGGCAUCCUAAGAUUAUGAAAGCUAUAUGCGCUGUGAGAGAGCUUUGCGUCCCAUUAGCUAGUUGGAGAGGUAACGGCUCACCAAGGCGAUGAUGGGUAGCCGGCCUGAGAGGGUGAACGGCCACAAGGGGACUGAGACACGGCCCUUACUCCUACGGGAGGCAGCAGUGGGGAAUAUUGGACAAUGGACCAAAAGUCUGAUCCAGCAAUUCUGUGUGCACGAUGACGUUUUUCGGAAUGUAAAGUGCUUUCAGUUGGGAAGAAAAAAAAUGACGGUACCAACAGAAGAAGUGACGGCUAAAUACGUGCCAGCAGCCGCGGUAAUACGUAUGUCACAAGCGUUAUCCGGAUUUAUUGGGCGUAAAGCGCGUCUAGGUGGUUAUGUAAGUCUGAUGUGAAAAUGCAGGGCUCAACUCUGUAUUGCGUUGAAAACUGCAUGACUAGAGUACUGGAGAGGUAAGCGGAACUACAAGUGUAGAGGUGAAAUUCGUAGAUAUUUGUAGGAAUGCCGAUGGGGAAGCCAGCUUACUGGACAGAUACUGACGCUAAAGCGCGAAAGCGUGGGUAGCAAACAGGAUUAGAUACCCUGGUAGUCCACGCCGUAAACGAUGAUUACUAGGUGUUGGGGGUCGAACCUCAGCGCCCAAGCUAACGCGAUAAGUA